rnacentral:lncRNA from 1 species
CGUCCGUGCUGCUGCAAGGCUGGCAUCAGAUAUGAUCUUGCUGGGGAGGCCACUGGGCCAAGGUCCAGUAUAGUUGGACCCAGUGUUGGCCCAACGGGGUCUGGAGGAGUGGUCUUCAUUGCUGUCCCUACUAAUCCACGCUAGCUCCAAAGAGAGAGCCCAGCUGGGGCAACACACCAUGCAGACGCUGCUCCCGGCCCA